rnacentral:rRNA from 1 species
CAGUAGCCACGGGAAUACAGAGGGUGCGAGCGUUAAUCGGAUUUACUGGGCGUAAAGCGUGCGUAGGCGGCUUUUUAAGUCGGAUGUGAAAUCCCUGAGCUUAACUUAGGAAUUGCAUUCGAUACUGGGAGGCUAGAGUAUGGGAGAGGAUGGUAGAAUUCCAGGUGUAGCGGUGAAAUGCGUAGAGAUCUGGAGGAAUACCGAUGGCGAAGGCAGCCAUCUGGCCUAAUACUGACGCUGAGGUACGAAAGCAUGGGGAGCAAACAGGAUUAGAUACCCCUGUAGUCCAUGUCUCUUAUAC